rnacentral:rRNA from 1 species
UACAGAGGGUGCAAGCGUUGUUCGGAAUUACUGGGCGUAAAGCGUGCGUAGUCGGUAUUGAGAGUCGCGGGUGAAAUCCCAGGGCUUAACCCUGGAACUGCCUGCGAGACCUCAGUACUAGAGUGUGAGAGGGGAUAGUGGAAUACCAAGUGUAGCGGUGAAAUGCGUAGAGAUUUGGUAGAACACCGGUGGCGAAGGCGGCUAUCUGGCUCACAACUGACGAUCAGGCACGAAAGCGUGGGGAGCAAACAGGG